rnacentral:tRNA from 1 species
AGUCCCCCCGAUUCCU